rnacentral:rRNA from 1 species
AGAGUUUGAUCAUGGCUCAGGAUGAAUGCUGGCGGCGUGCCUAACACAUGCAAGUCGAACGGCCCGCAAGGGCAGUGGCGAACGGGUGAGUAACACGUAGUUCACCUACCUCAGAGAGCGGGACAACACGGGGAAACUCGUGCUAAUACCGCAUAAGCUCCCGAGCUGUAGAGGCUUGAGAGAAAAGGGCGCAAGUCGCUUUGAGAUGGGACUGCGGUCCAUCAGCUAGUUGGUGAGGUAAAGGCUCACCAAGGCAACGACGGAUAGGGGGCCUGAGAGGGUGACCCCCCACACUGGAACUGAGACACGGUCCAGACUCCUACGGGAGGCAGCAGUGAGGAAUAUUGCUCAAUGGGCGCAAGCCUGAAGCAGCAACGCCGCGUGGGUGAAGAAGGCUUUCGGGUCGUAAAACCCUUUUCUGCGUGACGAGAACGGACGGUAGCGCAGGAAUAAGUGUCGGCUAACUACGUGCCAGCCGCCGCGGUAAUUC